rnacentral:rRNA from 1 species
AGUUUGAUCAUGGCUCAGGAUGAACGCUGGCGGCGUGCUUAACACAUGCAAGUCGAACGGUGAACACGGAGCUUGCUCUGUGGGAUCAGUGGCGAACGGGUGAGUAACACGUGAGCAACCUGCCCCUGACUCUGGGAUAAGCGCUGGAAACGGCGUCUAAUACUGGAUAUGUGACGUGACCGCAUGGUCUGCGUCUGGAAAGAAUUUCGGUUGGGGAUGGGCUCGCGGCCUAUCAGCUUGUUGGUGAGGUAAUGGCUCACCAAGGCGUCGACGGGUAGCCGGCCUGAGAGGGUGACCGGCCACACUGGGACUGAGACACGGCCCAGACUCCUACGGGAGGCAGCAGUGGGGAAUAUUGCACAAUGGGCGCAAGCCUGAUGCAGCAACGCCGCGUGAGGGACGACGGCCUUCGGGUUGUAAACCUCUUUUAGCAGGGAAGAAGCGAAAGUGACGGUACCUGCAGAAAAAGCGCCGGCUAACUACGUGCCAGCAGCCGCGGUAAUACGUAGGGCGCAAGCGUUAUCCGGAAUUAUUGGGCGUAAAGAGCUCGUAGGCGGUUUGUCGCGUCUGCUGUGAAAUCCGGAGGCUCAACCUCCGGCCUGCAGUGGGUACGGGCAGACUAGAGUGCGGUAGGGGAGAUUGGAAUUCCUGGUGUAGCGGUGGAAUGCGCAGAUAUCAGGAGGAACACCGAUGGCGAAGGCAGAUCUCUGGGCCGUAACUGACGCUGAGGAGCGAAAGGGUGGGGAGCAAACAGGCUUAGAUACCCUGGUAGUCCACCCCGUAAACGUUGGGAACUAGUUGUGGGGUCCA